CAUAGAGGCCAUAUCACCCUGCAACUCACACCUGGCAACCCACUGAAGCUCAGCAGGUGUGAGCCUGGUCAGUACCUGAAUGGGAGACCUCCUGGGAAAAACUAAGGUUGCUGCUGGAA
rnacentral:rRNA from 1 species